rnacentral:lncRNA from 1 species
UUUUUUUUUUUUUUUUUUUUUUGGGGGUGCCAUCAGCAACGUGAAUGAACUCAGAAAACCCCACGAUAAAAUGCAAAGAAGAAAAAAGGUAUCCACUCGUGGUACUGAAGUCUCCUAGUUGUCCGUACUGGAGAGUCUAGACAACUCCACUCAAUCAACGAGUCCUCAAAUCUCCAACUCCUUUUUCCUUUCAGUCCAAAAUCAAACACCUGGUGGGUCUUCAUGAUUUCUCCUCAAUCUUUUUCACAUAAUUCAGAAUUACCCAUCAAGACAAAGCCAAGUAGUUUGAUAUUUUUCAAGUUGAUAAUUUUGUAGAGCAGUAGUAAUGAUAUUACCAGUAGCAAAGCUAGGAACACUUGCCUUAAAGACAAUCUGCAAACCCAUUGCUAGACGCAUCAAGAAAGAGGCUACCUUUCACCCUCAAUUUAGAUUGUUCAUCACCAAUAUUGCCCAGGUCUAGUUUCUACUUGAUGAUACUACAUCCCUUUUUGCAGCUCAGGUUUUUUAGCUAUUUAGUUCUUUUGUUUUUCUGGGUUAUAAUUGAAAUUGAAUGAUACUGCAAGAUAUCUUGAUUGUAAUGUUAAUGCUCAGUAAAUUCUGCUGCUGUAGAAUCUUGUAAGUUGGUGUAGUUAGAUUUGCUUUCCCCUUCAGUAUUAUCUUCUGAUAUUUCUUAGAAUUGAUCUUCUGAUUUGUCAUGAGUCGUCUGCAUUAUAUUUGUGGAAAAUAACAAGGAGCCCAGAUAUUCUAUGAAGGAUUGAUGGAAUGAUGUUUUGGAGAAUAAUUUCAAAGCUAUAACAUUAUUCGAAGAUAAAUAUAUAAUAAAACAAUUGGUGGCGUUAAAGAGGAAACAAAAAGCAUCGAGAAAGAAUAAGGCUAUUGUAUUUUUUAUUUGCUUUGGAUAGAAGCCAUUUGGAAACCAUUGUGACUGUAACAAAUGUAUUUAGGCCCUAAAGGACAUCACGAAAUGAUCUGAAACAUGUCACUGCUUUGUUAUUCAAUGUUGGCCCUUGCUUGGAAACAAAGAUUGUAGUUAUAAGAAGUGCACUCACACGUUUGCGUGAUAGCUGUAAGCAAAUAAUGACUCAGGGAACUUGAUAUUGCAUUAUUGCAAUCUGAAGCCAUACCUGUAUUGUGUCGAACUGUAAGGGUAUAAGGGCGUAGGAGAUCUGUAAAAGCUGAAUCUUUCAUCAGAGUUGGUGGAAGAAUCUGUGAGUAGUAUAUUAGAAUGAUGCUCUUUCUUCUCUGCUUAUGGGGAUUUUCUUUCCUGCAUAGACUUCACAGAUUCUUUUCUGUUCUUGCAUCAGGCAAACCACAGAUUAACAACAACUAUACAGAGGCAAAUUUAUGGACAUGCGACAGACGUUGCAAUUCGCCCUCUGAAUGAAGAAAAAGCUGUUCAAGCUGCUGCUGACCUGUUGGGUGAAUUCUUUGUUUUUACGGUAAUACUGAAUUUCUUCUCGUGUAUCAUUUUAGAUUGGGUCUCUGAGUUCAUUAUUCUUAAAGUCCUUUGUCUUGAACUUUUUUAGCGUGUAAUUGAUUUUUCUACCCUGUGGUUUGACUUGCUCUCAAUUUGCUGUGGUGAGGAUGUCCUGCCUUUUGGUCUAUUGUUGUUAAUAAUUGUUGUAUUAACAAAUAACAAUAGGUAUGUUUCUUUUCAGUGAUAUUUAGAAUUUGACCAUGCUUGACUAACUCUGAUGGUCAUUGUGGGUAGUGAUCCUGUCCACUUCAAGACAUAAAUGCCAUCUUGCUUUAUAUUUGAGCAAUUUUGUGCGUUCUGCUUUCUUUUGUUGUAUUUAACUCUUUCAACAAUAUAAAAGUACCAAUAUUUUAUGCCUGAAAGGACAGAACAAAACAUGCUUGUCCGACAAGAAAGAUUUAUAUAUCUUAGAAGGAUCUCACUGUUCUUGAAUUUUUUCCCCUUUAUGUAACUUUUAAAAUUGAAAAUAUUUGUCAUUAGGCUGUCAAUGAUUGUUCUACAAUACGCUUAAGUUGUUCUACAACAAAAUUUGUUGUUCUUUGUAUUUAAAGAAAGUUAAUUAAGAAGUAAAAGGUUUAAUUUUUUAUCACUACAAAUGAUGGUUGCAAAGAAAAACAAAAACUGACUGAAUCAAAUGGAGCACUUUUCUAGGCAAGAAGGAAGUAAUAAGAGAGUACACCUAUGAACAAAUUCUAUAUAUGGAAGUAAAAGAUUUGCACCUACAGUGCAAUGCUACAUAUGGUUAAAUGAAAAAUUAACCCUCUACGGACAAACUAAUAACACGAAGAACUAUGAAAAUUAAUUGAAGGUACAUUUAAAGAGGAGAAAGGACCAUAAUAUUUUGAGGGAAAAAAUCAAACGGAGGGGAGGGCAAGAAAGUAUAACAAAAUCUUUUGGGGAAAAGUUAGGAGAUAAAAUAAAAUUUAUAUAAUGUUAGAAGUAAAAAUGCAGUUUGUCAGAAGUUAGGGGCUACUGCUGCUGCUGCUCCCCCAUUGCCUCCGCCACUGGUGAUGGAUAUUGUGAGUUGUGACUCAACUAUAUCCAUGAAUCACGUGAAAGAGUGCAACUUGUAGAAUCAACCAACAGAUGGCACUUAAUUUUCAUGACUAUAUGGUGAAAAGUAGGAUCUCUUCUGAAGGACGACAUGCUUUAUACUUGUUCUCGUUUGUUUUCAAGUAAAGGUAACAAAUUUUACAGUUUUAGGCCAAAUUGGAAAUGGUGUAUUGUUGGGUGCAAGUAGUAAGAUUACCGUUCGGGAAACAAAUUGUAACAAGCACAGUUGUUUGGAGGUGUAAGAUGAAAUUAUUUACUUGUGUUAUUUUGUAGUGCUAAAACUGGAUGUGCAUACUCUUUCAAGUUAUUUGUUGUGAUUCUCUUUCUUUGUCUUUCUGCUUAAGACACUAUCUCAUGGUCCAUUUCUUUUUAUUAGGUAGUCGGAGUGGCUGUUCUCUUUGAAGUGCAAAGAAAUGCUAGAUCAGAAGCUAGAAAGGAAGAAAUGCGUAAACAAGAACUAGAGGUCUGUAUUUUUUGUUCAUGUAGUUUCUUUUUUCUCCUUUUCUGAUGCUUUUUGUCUCUAUUCUCUUUAAGAUUUCUCUUUCAAAAUAAUUAGGCGGUAUGUUCAAUGGGGAAAAUGAUUGUCUGGACUUUUAUGAUGACCUAUUAUUAAAAUAGUUCUCCAUUUUGCUGUGAUGAGCGCUUUUCUGUUGUCAUAUUCUGGUAUACAUCACUUUCCAAAGUCACUUGUUCCCUUUGAACUGUCUACAUAAAGAUAGCAACCGGAUCAACUGCCAAAAAAUGUAGGAUAUGGACAUUCCCCUGAUGGGAUCCUGUAAAUGUCCUACGCUUGUGAAAUUCUAAUGGUUUUGUGGACAUCUCAUCUGGAACGCCUUUGUUAGGUCGAAAAGAACAUUAUAAUGAAUUAAAUGGCACACUGUAAAGACUUGUGAAUAUUUAAAAAUCAAGAUGGGACACAUAUCAUAAAAUUGUUUGUUUGAAGGAAGGUAAAGUGGAUAAGGAGAAUUGAAUCUUGUUCUGUUAAUGACUUAUUCUUAUGGUAAGUUCAAUGUUCUGCACUGAUCAAUGCCAGUUGUUAUUGUUUCCUUGUUAUGGUGAGUCCUGUGUUCUGCAGUGAUGAAUUCCAUUCGUUAUUUUUUCUAAUCACCUCAUUUUUUAAAUUUACCUGUUUCAAUUUCACUAGUUCAUCAAAGUCCUUUUUAAGAAGUAUGGGAUAGGAACACUUCCAAUAUCCCAUGAUUUUUAUGGCUUACAUGUGUAAGGCUAUGACACUUGAAGGACAUCUGGUGUGAUAUUUCUUUUGCUAAUUGUAAAGUGAACAUGAGUUGUUCAACCACAUCGCUUGUUAAGAGACUUGUUAAGACUUGAACAUGGCUCACCAUUUUAUCUGUUGAAUAUUGUAAAGACUGCCUAUAUUUAAUCAUUCUGAUAUAUAGCAACUUGGAGUGCUCAGAAAAUAAAAGCAACUUGGAGGACCCUGUACACUUUGAUUUCCUCAUGGUCUCAUGGUGCAUGGUCAUUUGUGAUAAAGCAUAAAUGACUGUGGAGACCAUAUAAUGCAUAUGCUAAGAAAGUUGGUUGCCUUUAAACAACUCAUUGCUAUACUGUAGAUUGCUAAAUUACCAUCUAGAAACAUUGUGCAUCUAGUACUGAAAUAGGCUGCACAUGUCUGCUGUGAAAUUUUGAUAUGGCAGAUUAUCAUGGGUUCUUAGCUUCUGUUGCUUUGGUCAUUUGUGUCUGUGCAGUAUGCUAGCUAGCUAGGUAAAGCCAUACACUAUAGCUAGAAGAUGCUUAAUCAUAUCAUUCACAGGGAAGAGAAGUGCCUGUCUAUGCGACAUAGUUAUUGUCAAGAAUUUCUUGACAUUAUUCUUUUUGUUUUUUUUUUAUUUAAUACAUUGUUGAGCAAUCAAGCAGUAGUUUCUUGGUCCUUUUUUUUGCAGCAGAGUAUCAGAGUAAAGUCCAUGAAAUUAUCCCUUUGCUAACUUUGCGCAUUUUCUUCACUAAUUUGACAUGAAACAUGCUUAUUUCUUCAAUUAGUUUUUGAGCACGUAGGAAAUCAUGGUGUUAAACAUUUUUCUGCGCAGGAAACCGAGUAGAGUUGAGGUUAUUUCUCUCAAUGUGAAUUCCUUCUGCUUCUUUUUUUCAUAUGAGAAAUUAAUUUGUUGUCAUUCAUAUUAGGCAUUGAAGCAACGAGAUGAAGAUUUGUCCAAAGAAGUUGAGAUUCUCAAGUACAAAGUCGUGGAACUGGAGCACCUUGUUAAAGGACGAAGGCAUAAUAUUUUCAGCUUGACGCAAGCUGAUAGCAUGAAUGACAAAGUUAAAACUUGAUUUAUUGUCGUGUCAUGGCAGUAAAAACUUGUCCAAUGGGAGUCGAAAUACUCAGAAUGGAACUUUGACCAGAGAUGCAAAUUUUAGGCAUUUCUGAGAAUCUGUAGCUGCUCUUGCCAAACUAAUAUGACUCAAAAAUUCUUGACUCCUUGCGGGAGCAAAAUCAGAUAAUACAAGUUGUAGAAAGAUGUAUGUUCACCAUCUUUUUAUGUGGAUCAGCUGGACUAGAUAAAGCGCAUUUGGAUAUUAAACUUGCAAUAGGGAGCCGAAGCAGAGUUCUGUCUCUUUUGCUCUGCAUGUCUAUUAGCGCGAGUACAUUUAGCUGUACUCUAUUUUGUAGCAUUUUCCUAAUCAACCACCAUCAUCAGCCUCUGUUUCAUGUCAUUCCUUCCACAUUGAAAUCGCCAACCAAAAACCAGAACCACUUCAAGCAAUGGCUAAGCACAAUAUCCAGAGAGUUUAUUUGCAAAAUGAAAAGAUUUAUCAUGCUAUUAGACCACCAGAGUGCGAAUUUCGGGGACCAAAAAUCUGGUGGUUAUGGUUUCUUUUAUGAAACUCUUAUUUUUUUUUUUUUGGUUGGUUAUUGUGAUUUCAAUCUUUUUCUUGGUGGUAAACUCUUGCAAUUUAUAGGCAAAAACUAGUAAAUUAAAUCGGUGUUUUUUUCCCUCAAUUUUCUGGUUUCAACACCAUAUAUGAUUGGGCAAUUUAAUGUCAAUUUGACUCUGUGUAUAAAAGGAUUUGUUUUGAAGUGGUAAUUUGACAAUAUGGUUUUGUUGGAGCAAUGGAGCUGCAACAAAUGUAAAAGAGCAAUUGAAGGAAGAGUCGGGAUUUGGCAGUAAUAUAGUAGCAUUUUAAGGAAGCAGUUUUUUUAAAAAAAAAAAAAAAAAGUUCUCCUUGUUCCUUCCGGGGAUUAUAAAAAAAAAAAAAAAAAAGCACCAAUAGAAUUAUAAACAAACCGAAAAAGUAGAAUAAAAACAGAACAUUGGAAAUAUUAACUUACAAUUUACAGUUAAAAACAGAACAGAUAGAUAUCGAUACGUACAUUAAAACAUUGGAAAUAUUAACUACUUAAAACAUUAAUUGUUUCCCUAAUGCAAAUGAGUCAAACUUUGUUCAACGGAUAGAUAUGAAUACGGGGAAUAUGUGCAAUCUUGGGCCACUCUGCACCACUUCCUUUGGUGCAUCUCUCUGCUAAAAGAGGACACCUGGUGAUAGAUAGAUAAUUUAAAUUGGUGAGGUGUCG